UUAAAUAUACCAUUUAUGAGUGCCUUUUAUAGGAUAAUAGGGAAGCUGGGUGAAAAUCCCACACGGAUCCGCCACUGUAAAUGCAGAGUUACUUUUGAUAUAUGCCACUGGAUAUUUAUCUGGGAAGGUAAAAAGGUAGCGGUGAAGCAUAAGUCAGGAGACCUGCUCAAUAAACCUUCUUAAA
rnacentral:ncRNA from 1 species